rnacentral:lncRNA from 1 species
AUGAAGGAAAUUGAAAGCCAGAGUCUUCUUCAAUUCUUCGAUCAGAGCUCUCAAUGAAAUCACCAAUUUGUGGAUGCAAAUUUCCGUCUUUCCUUGAUUGAUGAAUCUGCACCUGCAAAAUAAUAACACCUAAGAUUAAGGUCAAAAGCCUCACACGCCCACGGUGAAUGGGGGGCUUUGGUCGAAGAAUCUCUGAUGCCAAAGUUAUAAUUCUGUAAGGAAUGUGUUUGAGUGUUUGUGGGAAGCAAAGAGCCUCUUUAAGGGUAGCCAAAGCUUACCGAAUUUAAGGAGUGGCCGGCCCUAGGUGGUAUUCUGGGUGGAAUAUUCUAAGAUAUUUGUGUAAAUAAAUAUCUUAGAAUAAAUAGGUAAAUAUCCUAAAUAAAUAGGAUUAUGAUUACUUGAAAGAGGUCUUUUCUGAUUGGGAAUGUAUUUAUGAUAAGAAUAAAGGAUUAUUCUAUCAUAAAUACCUUUGACUUUCCUAUGGGUAGGGGUGUUAUGAGCAAUGGUUGAUCUCUGCCUGCUCUACGUCAGUUGCAUGUGGUGAAUGAGGCUGCUCCUUGCUCGUUUAACAGGGGCAGUCUUGUCUUUUUUUGGAAAUAAUCUACGUGUCAGCUCGUUGAUUUUUGGGAUUUUUUUUGGCUCCACAUAACAAGUUUCGGGUGAACAUAAAAACUAAUUGGGUCAUUAUUGGGUCACACGAUAAGAACUUAUUAAUAACGGGUCCUUAAUAGGUUUACACGAGGGUGACACGCAAGUAACCUGUUUCAACACGAUAAGAACAAAGUUAUUUUGAUGAUUUUAAUUUUUUAAACUACUAAAAAAAACUUACUAUAAAAUACAAUGGUCAUAGUGUAUAUGUAUAUAUUGUCAAUAAAUAUGUAGUAUUAUAUUAUUAUUCUAUAUAAAUUUAAAGAAAAUUUAAGUUUUAUUUAUUUGUAUAGUAUACUAUAGGUAAUGGGUGAGAUUAAAAAAAUUAUAAAACAAAUUAAAAUAAAAAGAUCAAGUAAUUUAAAAAUACCAGACACAUUAAAAAAAGUUAUACUAAUUAUUUACAAGCGUGAAAAAUAUGAAAAAAAAUAUGCAAACGCUCGUGAUCGCAUCAUCUACAUUUUGAGGAUGGGUACAUCGUCGUUUAAAUUUUUAAAACCAUACAUACCCUCAUGAUAGUAUUUUUGAGGGAGUUCAAAAUAAAUAAAAUUGAUAAUCAUUAAUGUACAAGUAUGAAAAAUGUGAAAACAUAUAUAAACGCUUAUGAUUGCAUCCUCUACGCUUAGACGAUGGUUACAUGGUCGUUUAGAUUUUUAAAAUCCUCCAAAUGUCAUGAACGAUAUUUUUUAUUUGAGUGCAAAAUUAAUAAUAAUUGUUAUAAGAGUUUGAAAAAUGUAAAAAAAAAAAAUACAAUUAAACAUAACGACAAACUUUACAAUUUUUACGAAUGGGUCAACUCCGAAAUCCAACACCAUAAUCCGUAAACCUUAGAUUUAAAUUUAAACUCGAUUGUCAUUUACGCUUUAUUCUACUCAUUGAAUUUCAUUUUUUAGCUUUUCAUUAUUUAUUGAUUUAAAAUAUAUUUUCUUUAACGGGUAACGGAUCGGGUCAUAUUACUUGAUAAUAUUAACGAGUCGAUUUCAAGUUGGGUAAUAUUACCUGUUUACUUUAACGGGUAUUACACGACACGACCCGCUAAGAUAUUGGUUACGUCAUGAAAACGACAUGAACACAAAAAAUACGACACGAAUGCCAGGUCUAUAUAAAACUAUAAUUUUAUUAUUAUUUAAACAUUUUUAAUCCAUAUAUUAAUAUUCAAUUAGACUAGUAG